rnacentral:rRNA from 1 species
UACGUAGGGUGCGAGCGUUGUCCGGAAUUAUUGGGCGUAAAGAGCUUGUAGGUGGUUUGUCGCGUCUGCUGUGAAAAUCCGAGGCUCAACCUCGGACUUGCAGUGGGUACGGGCAGACUAGAGUGUGGUAGGGGAGACUGGAAUUCCUGGUGUAGCGGUGGAAUGCGCAGAUAUCAGGAGGAACACCAAUGGCGAAAGCAGCUUUCUGGGACGGUACUGACGCUGAGACGCGAAAGCGUGGGGAGCGAACAGG